ACACAUGCAAGUCGAACGAGCGAGAGAGAGCUUGCUUUCUCGAGCGAGUGGCGAACGGGUGAGUAACGCGUGAGGAACCUGCCUCAAAGAGGGGGACAACAGUUGGAAACGACUGCUAAUACCGCAUAAGCCCACGGGUCGGCAUCGACCAGAGGGAAAAGGAGCAAUCCGCUUUGAGAUGGCCUCGCGUCCGAUUAGCUAGUUGGUGAGGUAACGGCCCACCAAGGCAACGAUCGGUAGCCGGACUGAGAGGUUGAACGGCCACAUUGGGACUGAGACACGGCCCAGACUCCUACGGGAGGCAGCAGUGGGGAAUAUUGCACAAUGGGGGAAACCCUGAUGCAGCGACGCCGCGUGGAGGAAGAAGGUCUUCGGAUUGUAAACUCCUGUUGUUGAGGAAGAUAAUGACGGUACUCAACAAGGAAGUGACGGCUAACUACGUGCCAGCAGCCGCGGUAAAACGUAGGUCACAAGCGUUGUCCGGAAUUACUGGGUGUAAAGGGAGCGCAGGCGGGAAGACAAGUUGGAAGUGAAAUCUAUGGGCUCAACCCAUAAACUGCUUUCAAAACUGUUUUUCUUGAGUAGUGCAGAGGUAGGCGGAAUUCCCGGUGUAGCGGUGGAAUGCGUAGAUAUCGGGAGGAACACCAGUGGCGAAGGCGGCCUACUGGGCACCAACUGACGCUGAGGCUCGAAAGUGUGGGUAGCAAACAGGAUUAGAUACCCUGGUAGUCCACACCGUAAACGAUGAU
rnacentral:rRNA from 1 species